AUUGAACGCUGGCGGCAUGCUUUACACAUGCAAGUCGAACGGCAGCGCGGGGCAACCUGGCGGCGAGUGGAGAACGGGUGAGUAAUAUAUCGGAACGUACCCAGAAGUGGGGGAUAACGUAGCGAAAGUUACGCUAAUACCGCAUACGAUCUACGGAUGAAAGUAGGGGACCGCAAGGCCUUAUGCUUUUGGAGCGGCCGAUAUCUGAUUAGCUAGAUGGUGAGGUAAAGGCUCACCAAGGCGACGAUCAGUAGCUGGUCUGAGAGGACGACCAGCCACACUGGAACUGAGACACGGUCCAGACUCCUACGGGAGGCAGCAGUGGGGAAUUUUGGACAAUGGGCGCAAGCCUGAUCCAGCAAUGCCGCGUGAGUGAAGAAGGCCUUCGGGUUGUAAAGCUCUUUUGUCAGGGAAGAAACGGUAGAGGCUAAUAUCCUUUGCUAAUGACGGUACCUGAAGAAUAAGCACCGGCUAACUACGUG
rnacentral:rRNA from 1 species